UACGAAGGGGGGCUAGCGUUGCUCGGAAUCACUGGGCGUAAAGAGUGCGUAGGCGGGUCUUUUAAGUCAGGGGUGAAAUCCUGGAGCUCAACUCCAGAACUGCCUUUGAUACUGAAGAUCUUGAGUUCGGGAGAGGUGAGUGGAACUGCGAGUGUAGAGGUGAAAUUCGUAGAUAUUCGCAAGAACACCAGUGGCGAAGGCGGCUCACUGGCCCGAUACUGACGCUGAGGCACGAAAGCGUGGGGAGCAAACAGG
rnacentral:rRNA from 1 species